rnacentral:rRNA from 1 species
UACGUAGGGCGCAAGCGUUAUCCGGAAUUAUUGGGCGUAAAGAGCUCGUAGGCGGUUUGUCGCGUCUGCCGUGAAAGUCCGGGGCUCAACUCCGGAUCUGCGGUGGGUACGGGCAGACUAGAGUGAUGUAGGGAGACUGGAAUUCCUGGUGUAGCGGUGAAAUGCGCAGAUAUCAGGAGGAACACCGAUGGCGAAGGCAGGUCUCUGGGCAUUAACUGACGCUGAGGAGCGAAAGCAUGGGGAGCGAACAGGA